GACGAACGCUGGCGGCGUGCUAACACAUGCAAGUCGAACGGAACUGUUUUGAAAGAUUUCUUCGGAAUGAAUUUGAUUUAGUUUAGUGGCGGACGGGUGAGUAACGCGUGAGUAACCUGCCUUCAAGGGGGGGAUAACAUUCUGAAAAGAAUGCUAAUACCGCAUGACAUAUCGGAAUCACAUGAUUUUGAUAUCAAAGAUUUUAUCGCUUGAAGAUGGACUCGCGUCCGAUUAGUUAGUUGGUGAGGUAACGGCUCACCAAGACCGCGAUCGGUAGCCGGACUGAGAGGUUGAACGGCCACAUUGAGACUGAGACACGGCCCAGACUCCUACGGGAGGCAGCAGUGGGGGAUAUUGCGCAAUGGGGGCAACCCUGACGCAGCAACGCCGCGUGAAGGAUGAAGGUUUUCGGAUUGUAAACUUCUUUUAUUAAGGACGAAAAUUGACGGUACUUAAUGAAUAAGCUCCGGCUAACUACGUGCCAGCAGCCGCGGUAAUACGUAGGGAGCAAGCGUUGUCCGGAUUUACUGGGUGUAAAGGGUGCGUAGGCGGCUUUGCAAGUCAGAUGUGAAAUCUAUGGGCUCAACCCAUAAACUGCAUUUGAAACUGUAGAGCUUGAGUGAAGUAGAGGCAGGCGGAAUUCCCCGUGUAGCGGUGAAAUGCGUAGAGAUGGGGAGGAACACCAGUGGCGAAGGCGGCCUGCUGGGCUUUAACUG
rnacentral:rRNA from 1 species